rnacentral:rRNA from 1 species
CCACCCGAGACUCAGUGAAAUUGAACUCGCUGUGAAGAUGCAGUGUACCCGCGGCAAGACGGAAAGACCCCGUGAACCUUUACUAUAGCUUGACACUGAACAUUGAGCCUUGAUGUGUAGGAUAGGUGGGAGGCUUUGAAGUGUGGACGCCAGUCUGCAUGGAGCCGACCUUGAAAUACCACCCUUUAAUGUUUGAUGUUCUAACGUUGGCCCGUAAUCCGGGUUGCGGACAGUGUCUGGUGGGUAGUUUGACUGGGGCGGUCUCCUCCUAAAGAGUAACGGAGGAGCACGAAGGUUGGCUAAUCCUGGUCGGACAUCAGGAGGUUAGUGCAAUGGCAUAAGCCAGCUUGACUGCGAGCGUGACGGCGCGAGCAGGUGCGAAAGCAGGUCAUAGUGAUCCGGUGGUUCUGAAUGGAAGGGCCAUCGCUCAACGGAUAAAAGGUACUCCGGGGAUAACAGGCUGAUACCGCCCAAGAGUUCAUAUCGACGGCGGUGUUUGGCACCUCGAUGUCGGCUCAUCACAUCCUGGGGCUGAAGUAGGUCCCAAGGGUAUGGCUGUUCGCCAUUUAAAGUGGUACGCGAGCUGGGUUUAGAACGUCGUGAGACAGUUCGGUCCCUAUCUGCCGUGGGCGCUGGAGAACUGAGGGGGGCUGCUCCUAGUACGAGAGGACCGGAGUGGACGCAUCACUGGUGUUCGGGUUGUCAUGCCAAUGGCACUGCCCGGUAGCUAAAUGCGGAAGAGAUAAGUGCUGAAAGCAUCUAAGCACGAAACUUGC